AAACACGCUACAUCACCUACAUUUAUAUCAGAAUAAUCUGCAGCUACUUCUGCAAUUAAAAGUUACUUUUAAGAUACGAAUACUGCUAUACCUAAUUUAAAAAUUCCGUAUGCAGUUUUUCAUCUUCAAUUAAAUUAUGCCUAGUUUGGAACUGGUUUAUUCCACUCUUCAUACUUCAUAUAUGUAAAGACAUGAUUAAUCUGAAACAAGAAAAUUUCCAGUCAAAAGCAGUAAGAAUACACACCUGAUUAACUUCAAGUUAAUUAACUGGUAAAAAAAAUAAAUAAAUAAACAACAAAAAAAAAAUAAUGUCAAGAUUAUUAGCUUACCUGAGUUUACAUUUUACUAAUUACACACAGAGUUUGCAACACUGCCAUCCCCGCCACAAGCGCCGCCUCAGCGCCGCCGCCUCGCGCUUCCCGCUCAUGGCCUCCAGGCGGCAGCCUCUCUGUCACGACAGGUCGAGGGCGGGCCUGAGAUUUGCUGAGCAGCAGCAGAAUGGAAUUGGCAGCACUAAUCAGGUCUUGCUCCGGAGCCCAGGAGGCAGCAGGAAAACUGCAGAAUUGUGUCAGCAUGCUCUCCAGAAAACACCGGAUAGUUCUACUCAAUGAGUCUGUGCACACCAUCCUUUUUUCCUGGCAACAGCUUCCAUUUGCCUGAGUCUGCCAAUUAAAUGAAGAUUUUAUGGGAGAUGUGAAAAUGACAAGGCAAUUUUCAUAGCCAAGCUACAGGUUUUUGAAAUCAGUGGUUGCCUUACAUGUGCUGUUGUCUCCCAAAACUCUGUACAUCCUACACCUGGUUGGAAACUAAGUUCAUGAAGCAGUAAAGUUGUUGUAACAAGUUUUGUAAAACAUCCUUUUUCAUAGUUUUCAUCUCACUGGCAGGUGUCAAGGUGUACUUUUUAUGCUCUAUAAAAUAAAUUGAUUUUAAACACCUUCUCAAACCCUGAGUUUAUAGCUACUGCAUUUAAUCUCAAUAUUUUACUACCUAUUUCUUUUCUUUCAUGAUUCACUAGGACAAAUGAAGUAGGAAACAUUACACAUUACUCCUACUAAGAAUAUGGCAUAUUUACACACCCUUGUUUGCCUUUAUUGUUCAUUAAAUUUGGACACCAAGUUAUCACUUAAAGGACGAGUUCAAAGUUCAGUUGGCUGACUCAAGUUAUCAGACCUCUGUGAGACUCCACAAAACAGAUCUUUCAUCUGGAAGAAGAAAACAUCCACAGUUACAGCAGGAAGUAUUUUUUAUAUU
rnacentral:lncRNA from 1 species